rnacentral:ncRNA from 1 species
UAUAAACCGUUGAAGAGAAUAGUAGUACUAAUUAUAUAUGUAAGAGAGUCAGUGUUUGGUGUAAACUGAUAUAUAUAUUAUUACGAAUCCGCCUCUGAGGGACUGUGAUGAGCAGUACGGCAUUAAGUUUGUCGUUAAAUUUGCGAGUGGAAUAAUUAAUUUUAUUCAAUUAGGGUGGUAACACGGAGUCUUUCGUCCCUUAG